UCUGUGUACACCAUCCCGCCCCUCUCCCGCUAGAACCACGGCAAGGCAGCGAGCUUCCCCUCCCUUCCAACUACCCCACAUGACAUGCCUUUCCCAGUAAAUCAAGAUAUUGAUGAUGCAAGGGUGGCCGUUCAAGUAACACAAAAUGGCCAGCAGCUCACAUAGUUCAAGCUCAUCAGUUCAAGAAGUAUGUGGUUAGCCAGAAACGGGCUUGAAACGAAGGGGUCGAGAAAACAUUGUACAAAAGAUAAUGAUGACGGAGACGACCACACAUGGUGGAGGACACAGUUCCCGCAUGGGCUCGUCCGAGCAUGGGUUUCCGUACUGAUGUGGCAGCACACAUGUACUGAUGCACCUGUACUGAUGCACAAACUGAUGCAGCAGCACACACAUGUCUUAGAAACAAAGAGUGUCAUGCGACAUCACACACUUACUGAUGCACGCGGCAACACGAGAUGGCCAUGGAGCUAGGCAAACAUGGCGAGGGCUAGUGGCAAUUCAGAACGGGGAGGAUGGCUGUUUUACCGAAUAUUAUGGUCGAGAUUUGACUUGUAUGGUAAGCAGCGCUCGAUUUGGACUGAGAAGCAGGGUCGCCGCUGCCAGCGGGAGGAAGAGAAGGGGUUUGCCCGGGAAGGACCUCGACGGUGGUUAGGGGAAGGAGCAGGAACACGGGCGGCGCGUGGCAGUUCAGGGAACACGUUUAACGGCCCGACGGCGCUGCUGGGGUGCGGGUAGGACGGUCACCAUGUCUGAGGGACUCCUUGGGGCAGGAGAGGAUGGGGCAUGGACCACGAGGUCCGUGGGAAGUGGGAGGUGGUGGUGGGGCGCGCGCCGAUGACCGGGGCCAUGGCGGUUGUGGAAGGUAGUGGUGGCGGGGUGCGCGCUUGCAGCGGGGGCCAUGCCAGCUUUGAAAGGUGGGAGGUGGUGGUGGCAGGGCACACACCGGCGGUGGAGGCUGCUGCGGCUCUGGGGGGUGUUGGUGGCGGGACGCGGGCCGGCGGCGAGGGCCAUGGCGGCUGUGGGAUUGGGGGUCAGGGGUGGGAGGUGGGGGUUGACCGGGAUGUGGGCCAAGGGAACGAGUUUUUUUCUAUUUCCUCGCGGUCGUGUAAUCGGUCCGUCGAGCAUACCACAGUAGAAACUUCCCGACCAACCCCAACCUACCCACCUCCUUCCGCCGGAGGCAGCCGUCGCGGGCGAGCGAGCGACGGCGGUAGCCGGAGCGAGGGAGCCCGCGGCGCCGUGACUGGCCGCUGACGGAUCCACCUCCUUCCAAUCUCCGAUUCCCCACACCCGUCGCCGUACUUCUCCUCAUUUUCUCCCGAUCAAGAGCGCCGACGACCUUGCUCUUCUUCCUCCUCCAGACCAAAUGUGUCACCGGUCCCGCUCCUCUUCCUCCUCCUGGCACGCGCGCCGCCACCCCCGCACCUCCUUCCUCCUCCUGGCACGUGCGCUACCGUCCCCGCGCCUCCUUCCUCCUCCUGGCACCCAUGCCUCCUUCCUCCUCCUAGCACCCGUGCCGCCGCCCCCGCACCUCCUUCCUCCUCCUAGCACGCGCGCCACGGCCGCACUUCCUUACUCCUCCUGCCAUGCGCGCCGCCGCCCUGACCUUCCCUGCCGCACUCUCCUCCCAGGCUCCUGCCGCCGCCCCGACCACAUCUCCACCAGCUCCGGCCACCGCCGCGCCCCAUCUCCCCCGGCUCCCACACCGCGCAUCUCGUCCUGGUGGGGCUUCAUAACCACAGUACCGGACCACCCCAGGCCAUUCAACGCCACCAACCCGGUCCGUUCAUUGCAGCAACACCCAGGAUCUGGCUACCACCAUGUCGUUCCCACGGUGACGUUCGAUGGAGCACCUCGUCUCUCUCCUGCUGCAGGGAGGCCCACCUACUGCACUAUGGAGUGAGCUGUAAAAAAUAAAAAUGUGGCAAAUUAGGUAGAGAUUAAACAUCCCCCGAAGCACAUCGUCGGUGUCCAUGAGCGGGGCUCCCGUGGAUGGCUGGAUCCUGUCGGCGGCGUCGAUAGCAUCCACGAGCGCGAGCACCCCACAUCCGGCGUCGCGACCUCUUCCUUCUGUAGGUCACCGCCUCCUGCUUCUGUAGGCCGUGCCCCAUCCCCCGAUUCCCGCAGCAGACAUGCCGUUCACCGCCGGCACCACAGUCUGUUCAUUGCCGACAACCGAGGCCGUUCAACGGCGCAACGACGAGAUCUAGCCUUCCCCCUUCCUCUUUACAUGUAUCUUUGUAUUCUGUUUCAGUUCAUCUACGUGUCGAUCAUAAGUUUGAUUUCAUCUGUGUUUCCAUGUUAUUCCUGUAUAGUACAAUGGGUAUUUGUAUUUAGUUCAGUUCAUCUACUUGCCGAUUGUAAGUCCAAUUACAUAUGUUUUUCCAUGUUCUUCAUACAGUAUGAGAAGAUUUGUAGAUGCACAACAGAGUUUGCAGACUGCCAUGUUAAACAAUGUCAACAGGCAACAAGCAGCAAGGGAAAAAGAAGAGCAAGAUUGACAUCAGUAGUCAAAAAUAAUAGAACAUCAGUUCUAAAAUUCCCCGCGCAUUAGUACACCUAUUUCUGGUUCUCUAGAUUGGUCUUGGUACAGGAUACAUCUUAAGCUUGGUCUUGGUACAGGAUACAUCUUAAGCUGGAGUUCGUCGCUAAGCAGAUGGAGAUGUGUGUAUGUAUACAUGUGUUCUGGAGAUAGGAGAACUUAUCUGGUGGUGUGUGUGUGCUGCUGCAUCCUCUUCCAGCCGCUCUAAUUCACACCUUCAGUACAACUUCUUUCAGCGAGGUGGAGAUUGGGGCACGGUGGAGUGUGACCGUGUGUGUGCAGACGGCCCGCCGCAACGUCAUAGUUGGAUGCAUUUCAUAGUUGGAUGGCUACUGAUCUCUCUAAAACCUUGGGAGCAGUGCUUGCAUUACUAGUCCAACCAUACUAGGGCUGGGGGAGAAGGCAGAACCUCUUGGUGCAUGAUGGAAAAAAUUGCAAGUUCUUGUUUGGAUGUUCAGCAUACCCUUCUCUCAUUUCAUUUAUGUUCAGGAUAGCAGGUGCAUGAUGGAAAAUUGUGUAUCAUGUAGUUCUUGUUUAUAUGUCGUGCUAGUUCAAAAAUUGUCGAUUUUGCCACUAGAGAGAACACGUUGGUUGCAUUGUUUUUCCAGUGUGACGUCCCUUUGUAUAUUAGGAGUAUUGUUAUUGUUGCUCUGCAUGCAAAUGAAUUAGCUUGUCCUGCUAAGAUGAGGAUGUUUGUGCCUGA